GCAAAUAUUUUCUCUCUGGAUUUCUUUUCUUUCUUUUUAAAACUUUUAAUAUAAAGGAAUUUAAACUUUUACUGUUAGUCAAAUUUAUUGUUAUUUUUCUUAAUUAUCAUACCAUUACAGUGUAUUACAUUGCCUCUCUUUGUCUUCCUAUGACCCACUUAAGAUUUCCCCUUUCCAUUCAAGGGUGACAGGUCAUUCUCUUCUUCCUUUGCCUAUAGUGUUUGUCAUGUUGAUAUGUGCUUUUUGCUAUGGCCAUGAUGACUUGGAUGUUAUUGGUCUAACAUUCUACAAAGAUAUGCUAUGUACAGACUCUGCAAGCGGUUCCAGUUGAGUCCAACAGCCUCCAGGUGCCUCUCACAGUCUUACAGGAGCGACUGCUGUACAAGCUGGGAGACAAUGCCUACCCCUUUACCCUGCAAGUACUGACCCAAGUCCUGGGCAAGGUUUCCAGGGAAGAUUAAAAGAAAAAGCUAAAGAAGAACAGAAGAGAGGAGUCCUUUUUCUUCUUUCACUGACCUCAUUUUGGUUCCCUAGAUGGUUGCCAAACUACAUUGUUCAGUGACACUGCAGCCAGGUCCCAAAGGCUUGUGGGGUUGUCUUUGAAGUGAAGAGUUUCUGUGCUGAAAACCUGGAGGAGAAAAUCUCUAAGAAGUAUUCUUGGUUUCUGUGCUGAAAACCUGGAGGAGAAAAUCUCUAAGAAGUAUUCUCUAAGAAGUAUUCUUGACUAGGAAGAACCUGCCGGCACCCUACAACUGGAAAACUAAGGGAGGACAGUUUGGUGACUGGGUUUGUAGUGAUGUCAGUAAAUCUACCUUGGGAAUCGUUACAGUGAUGUUGGCAUUGAGCUGCCCCUGAUCCUGAUGCAUCCAAAGCCAUCUCACGGUGAGUCAUCAGGCAGGACUCACAGGAUCGAUUGUCUUGAGGUUUGGAGACUGAGAGCCUCUGACCUUGUGACGUGAAGACUAAGUUUGGGUAGAGAUGGUAUGUCAGUAAGCAGGAUGGGUGUAUGGGGUUUUAGGUAGUUUGUGCAGGAGGGGAAGGAUUCAAAAAGGGAAGGGAAAGAGUAAAAACUUUUCUUCAGAGAACUGAAGCCUUAUCAGCUUAAACUCCACUUUUUCCUCCCUCCCUAUGUCUGCUUCAGAGGCCGCUGGGUAAGGAAAUAAGCUUGGGAGCCCUCAUCACUACUCUGCAUUUGAUGGCAAUAGAAAUGUAGUCUUCCCCAGGCUAUUGCUUUCCAUAUAUGUGCAGAGGAAACAUACAGUUUAGCUUUCUGUCACAACUAAGUUAUUUUCAUGUGUAGUCUUUUCCCUUUCAACACCCCCCACCCUCCACCCCUGCUCUUUUUGGAAUCAUCCUUUUCCUUCAUACUUUCUAUUUCCCCUUUCCCUUUCUUCUUUCAUUCUCCCAUCCCAUCCUUCCAUCCCACUCUCUGUUCUUCUCUUGUAGCAUUCCUAGGGGACUUUUGUGUUGGGAGAGUUGAGAGGGAAAAAGUCAGAAACCAGUGUGGCCCAUGGGGUGGGGUGGGGUUGGGGUGCAACUGAGAGGAGGCCUUGAGAUUGAGCUGAGAAGCAGGGAAGGGAUCUCUUCUCUGGGGGUCAGAAGAAGGUAAUGAAUGAGACUCCUAAUCCUUCAUUCUCCCCUGCUGGAAGCUCUGAGAACAUAGUCAUCGAGGAGUUUACCUGGCAGGAGCAAAGCAGGGCAAAGAGCCAGAAAACUUUGGCGGCGGAGGGUGAUGAGGAGAGCUGAGGUGCCAAGAUCUGCCGCCCCUCUGUAUGGGAACCCUCACUGUAACGCUCUAAUAAACGCUUUUGUUCAAAUGUG